UACGUAGGGGGCAAGCGUUGUCCGGAAUCAUUGGGCGUAAAGAGCGUGUAGGCGGCCAGAAAAGUCCGCUGUGAAAACUCGAGGCUCAACUUCGAGCUGUCGGUGGAAACUUUCUGGCUAGAGUCCGGAAGAGGAGAAUGGAAUUCCUGGUGUAGCGGUGAAAUGCGCAGAUAUCAGGAAGAACACCCGUGGCGAAGGCGGUUCUCUGGGACGGUACUGACGCUGAGACGCGAAAGCGUGGGGAGCGAACAGG
rnacentral:rRNA from 4 species